rnacentral:lncRNA from 1 species
CAAAUCUCAAAUAAAAAAAUAUAUUCAAAACGUAUGAAUCUUUCUGCACCUACAUAAUCACUUAAUAUAGCAGAUAUUUUUUCCAUAGAAGGAACGUAUUCUACCAUGUAUUCUCAUCAUUAUAAAAUGCAAUUUACACCAAAGGGCUAAUAAACUAAGACACUUGAUCAUCAAUGAGUGUAUAACGUUAUACUUUUCCUCAAAAAGAUAUCUACUUUCUUUCAUUCCAUAAAACUCUUGCGAUGUAGACUUGGCAGGCUUCCAAAUUCUCUUCAGUUCCUUCGUAAACUUGCAUCACUCGUAACAGAAAAAAAGGUCGUUGGAGAGUCGGGCAUCACCCAAGUCGAUCUGAAAAUCUAUGUAACAGUUCUCACAACUACUUGCAAUUUACAAGGGAGAAAAAGACUGCAUGUAAUUACCUUACAUGUCUAUUCCACAAAUAUAAGAACUUGAUGCACAAUACAGUGCCCCUUUUCUAAAGAUUCAUGUGAGCAUUAUCUAUAUACAAUUGGAAGCAUGCAAAAUGCUGAAAAAAGGAAAAGGAAAAGGAAAGCAAAAAUAAAUACUAUAUCAGCAAGGUUCAUCGGCACAACAUCACAAGUCAAAGAAGAGGUCAAAGAUACUUAGACCACAACAAAUGAUUAAUCUCUACCUAAAGUGGGCAAUGCUCACACUCCCAUAUCGAGAUGAAACAACAUUAGUUCUAUUCCAAUGAAGUACCUCCAUUUUAUCUUCCAUUAGCCUCUAUCAAACAAACAACAUGAGAUUUUCCCUACAAAUGAGACCAUAGAGUUUUGCUCAUUAAUCCUAAUUAGUUAUUACUAAAUGGUUGUUAAGUUAAGAAAAAUUUUAAAAAUUGAAUAUGAAUUAAGAAAGCUGAGAAACAUAAAAAAUUAAAAUAUCUCAGAAAAAUCAUUAAAUUCUAAAUAAUAAGCAAACCAAAGAGUAAUAAUUUUAAGCCAAGUUAGAAUCUAGAAUAUAGACAAAAAAAAAUUAUAAACAGAUUUUUCUAAGGCAUUGUAUCGAUUUCUCUUACCUUAAAUACCAAAAUGAAAGAUACCAAAGCCAAACAAAUCUAUGUACUAUUCGUAGGGGUGAGAUCAUAUUAAAUUCAAUAUAAAGUUGGUGUCUCAUUGCUUCCAUAAUCGCAUUAUCAGGUUUGGAAUUUGAUGUGCUCUCUUACCCCAUUUUGAAUCUAUUCAAAUCUCUAUAAAAAGGAAAUUACGGGAGUAACAAAAGAUUAUCUUUUUGGGUCCAUUUUCUUAAAAUAUAUAAAGCAAAUAGUUUUUGAAGAUUUUCCCCUUUUAAUCACCAAACCCACUGUAUUUCAGAAGUGUGUUUAUUUCUCAAAGUACUAUCCAAAAGUAUUUCUCAAGGUAUUUUUUAAUUUAGCUAAUAAAUUGUGAAGAGAAGAUAAUAAGUUGUCAACUGUUUGGUAUUUAUAGACUAUAGUAUAGGGCAAUAUUGUUGGUCAUUUGGGUCAUUGUACAAGUCAAAUUUCUUCAUUUUAUAUCCGUUUAAAAUACUAUAUCGUUUUCAUAUAACCGUUCAUUUUGUAUUUAUAAUUUGAUUACAAUCUUUGCAGGCAUUUUUGAAAGAUUAUCUAAGAAUUAUUUUCAAAUGAUAAAUUCAUCUGAUUUUACUCUAAAAUUGGUCAAAUUAAUUCUCAAAGAAUCCAAAGGAAAAAAUCAAUGUAGGCUAAUAGUGCACCGGACACAGCGUCAAGCAAAGGCAUUAUCUCAAAAGUCCACAUAACUGUAUAAUGAUUUUUAUGUAUAUUCGAUGGAAAUUAAUUGAAUAUCACAAAAAGAAAAAGAAAAUAUGCCAAAAGAUGCAAACUUCAGUGCUACAGCAAACUUAAAAUCAGGAAGAAAUAAAGAAUACUGGAUACACAUAUAGUUAAAAUACUCACCAAAUAUUUAGUCGAACAAACAAAUCUCAAACCUGAAAAGAGGAGAUAUAUCUUUGGCGAGUAAGAAGAACCAAGAAUUCCGAUAUAGAAAUAAAUAAAAGGCCAACGAAACAUGAGAGAUAAGCAAAUCACUUACCUCUGAGAAAGAAGCUGAGUGAGAAACGAAAGAAGAAAAAAUAAUCGAAGAUGAAAGGAAGAGUUUUACUGCUGGCCAGUGGGAGGAAGAAGAGUAAAAGGAAAUACGUUAUGAAAUGAUGAGAUUGAUGUUAGAAAGGAAGAAGAGGAAGACAAUAAAGCCCUAAUUAAGAGGAGGAAUUAUGUAGAAGCAACGUUACAAUUAAAACAUGACGGUUCUAAAGGAUUAGAAACUGUUUUUUAUUAUUUAAAAUAGGAUGAAAAAUAAGGCUAAAAGU